GAUGAACGCUGGCGGCGUGCCUAAUGCAUGCAAGUCGCACGCUCCUCCUUCGGGAGGGGAGUGGCGAACGGCUGAGGAACACGUAUGUACCUGCUCCGGUGUGGGGGACAACACGGCGAAAGCCGUGCUAAUCCCGCAUACGCUCGCUCGCGAGGAAAGCCUUACGGCGCACCGGAAGGGACGUGCGGCCCAUCAGGUAGUUGGCGGGGUAACGGCCCACCAAGCCCGUGACGGGUAGCUGGUCUGAGAGGACGACCAGCCAGACUGGGACUGUGACACGGCCCAGACUCCUACGGGAGGCAGCAGCAAGGAAUUUUCGGCAAUGGGCGCAAGCCUGACCGAGCAACGCCGCGUGGAGGAUGACGGCCUUCGGGUUGUAAACUCCUUUUGGGUGGGAAGAUACGGACAGUACCACCCGAAUAAGCCCCGGCUAACUCUGUGCCAGCAGCCGCGGUAAUACAGAGGGGGCAAGCGUUAUCCGGAUUUACUGGGCGUAAAGGGUCUGUAGGUGGCGGCGCAGGUGGGGUGUGACAUCUCCCGGCUUAACCGGGAGCGGCCGCUCCAAACCGCGCCACUCGAGCCGUGCAGAGGUCGGUGGAAUUGCCGGUGUAGUGGUGAAAUGCGUAGAGAUCGGCAGGAAUACCAAGGGCGCAAGCAGCCGACUGGGCACGUGCUGACACUGAGGGACGACAGCGUGGGGAGCGAACAGGAUUAGAUACCCUGGUAGUCCACGCCGUAAACGAUGUAUGCUCGCUCCGUGACGGCUAUCCAUGCCGUUGGGGGGCUCAGCUCACGCUUAAGCAUACCGCCUGGGAACUACGAGCGCAAGCUUAAAACUCAAAGGAAUUGACGGGGACCCGCACAAGCAGCGGAGCGUGUGGUUUAAUUCGACGCAACACGCAACACCUCACCUGGUCUUGACAUGGCACUGCACGCGCUUGAAAAAGCGUUCCUUCGAGGGUGUGCCACAGAUGCUGCGUGGCUGUCGUCAGCUCGUGUCGUGAGAUGCUGGGUUAAGUCCCGCAACGAGCGCAACCCCUAGGGUCAGUUACCUGUGUCUGGCCCGACUGCCCACUUGGGAGGAAGGCGGGGAUGACGUCAAGUCCGCAUGGCUCUUACGACCAGGGCGACACACACGCUACAAUGGGCUGGACAGUGCGCGGCGCGCCGGCAACGGCAAGCAAAUCGCCAAACCAGGCCUCAGUGCAGAUCGGGGGCUGCAACUCGCCCCCGUGAAGUUGGAGUUGCUAGUAACCGUGUAUCAGCAGUGGCACGGUGAAUACGUACCCGGGUCU
rnacentral:rRNA from 1 species